UACGUAGGGUGCGAGCGUUGUCCGGAAUUAUUGGGCGUAAAGGGCUCGUAGGCGGUCUGUCACGUCGGGAGUGAAAACACGGGGCUUAACCCCGUGCCUGCUUCCGAUACGGGCAGACUAGAGUGCGGUAGGGGAGAUUGGAACUCCUGGUGUAGCGGUGGAAUACGCAGAUAUCAGGAAGAACACCGAUGGCGAAGGCAGAUCUCUGGGCCGUAACUGACGCUGAGGAGCGAAAGCAUGGGGAGCGAACAGG
rnacentral:rRNA from 1 species